GACGAACGCUGGCGGCGUGCUUAACACAUGCAAGUCGAACGGAAAGGCCCUGCUUGCGGGGUACUCGAGUGGCGAACGGGUGAGUAACACGUGGGUGAUUUGCCCUGCACUUCGGGAUAAGCCUGGGAAACUGGGUCUAAUACCGGAUAUGACCUUCCAUGGAGUGUGGGGGGUGGAAAGAUUUAUCGGUGUGGGAUGAGUCCGCGGCCUAUCAGCUUGUUGGUGGGGUAAUGGCCUACCAAGGCGUCGACGGGUAGCCGGCCUGAGAGGGUGGACGGCCACAUUGGGACUGAGAUACGGCCCAGACUCCUACGGGAGGCAGCAGUGGGGAAUAUUGCACAAUGGGCGGAAGCCUGAUGCAGCGACGCCGCGUGGGGGAUGACGGCCUUCGGGUUGUAAACCUCUUUCGACAGGGACGAAGCUUCGGUGACGGUACCUGUAUAAGAAGCACCGGCUAACUACGUG
rnacentral:rRNA from 1 species